UGUUCACUUAUCUUCAGUAUUUGAAAUGUUUUCCCUCACUUUAGUUCUUUCCAAUUAUGACGACACAUUUCUUAAGUUUCUGUAUGUUUUGAGGUUGUAACACUAUGGAAGAGGAUUAAUUAUGGUCCGGUAUAAAUUAUGUAUGUUUCUGUCCUGAGAAGAAGUCAGAAUUCUGAGAUUUAAGUCAGAACUCUGACUUAAUAAAUUAACAAAAAUAAUUCUUCAGUAGGUUAAAGCCAGAAUUCGUUUUUUUUUUUCAGAACAGAAACGUGAAAAAAAUAUAUUGGACCUUAAUUUUUUUUUUCAGUGUCCCUUAUCCUCUUCCGUAGAAAAACCAUAUUACUUUUGUUAUAAAAAAAAAAACUUGGAGUGGGAAUUUAUGUAACAGAUUUAUUUCCCCCAUUAUUACACCAAAUAGAUUUAAAACAAAGCUGGGUGACGGGGGUUAUUCCGUUAUACAUUUUUGUUAAUUUAUGUAGGAUACGUGUAAGAACAUAAUUCGGGUCAUACAUCAGUACUUCUAUUGAUAUGAAGUAUAGUUUUACUGGAGUUCACCUGGACAUAUUUGUGGCACUCUUUGUAUUUGUGUUGCUGUACUUCUCCGUGUCUCCGCCAGGUGGCAGUGUUGUGGCGGCCCGUGGAGGUGUGGAGCCGGUGUAAGUGCGCAGCGCCCGGACUCUCUCUCCCCCGAAGCACCGCUGCAGAUCGAUCACAACGUGAAGUGUCGAUCCACUGAAGUCAGUCCAGUCCAGACCUCUGAUUCCCUCCCUGCCGAGGAGCCCCGCGCACCGCUGACCGACAUAGUGGCAAGAGAAGAGGCAGACUGAUUCCUCAGCAGUCUGGGAUUUUUUAUUGUUCUCGGAGAUUAUUUAGAAAUCCGGUGCUGAGCUCUUCAUCCUACAUUAAAAAACAAGCAAGCAGAAAUAGAAAAGGCAACCAGUUUCAAGUUCAGAUCUCUGGAUGCUUUUUGAGGUGAGGGCAGAGGAACAGGCGCGUCACCACAUGAUGUCCGGAUUAUUGUUUACUUGAACGACCUUGGAUUAUUCUUCUGUCGCCGGAUUCUGUUUUUUUUUGUUUGAAUGGAGAAGAACCUGAAGCGUGUUCCAAUCUCACAUAAAACAAAAGAAGAAAGGUUGAGAAAGGACUGUUUCAACACUGCCAGACCCACGUAGGAAUGGACCUCAAAGUUGGUACCCCCUCAUUGCCCUCUGAAUCAGCACCCCUGAUUUCCUAACACUGAUAAUCACAUAUAUUGUCCCCCAGAGAUGGAUGAAAGCGGGAGUGGAUGACAGGAAGGCUUGUAGAGAGAACUCAAGAAGCAUAGAGUUGCUUUUGGGAUGAAUGAACAGUGACGUCUAAAUUCAAACUCCAACCAAAGACUCUUGCUACCACCCCAAAUCUGCCCCUGUAGAUCAAAUCAAUGCAACAUCCUCCAGAGUAUGGGGUGUGUUAAAUCUAAAAGGAGUGACUCUGCAGCCCAAAAUGCGAACUCUACGGACAAAUUCGAAGGCAAGUCCAAGAGAUCGAAGGGCGAGAAAGCGUACUUGGUGCACUCAGAGAUGGACUCACCGGAGAACUCGCCAAAGGUCAACCCGGUGCUGCUGGAGUACGCGCACCGGCUAUCUGAGGAGAUCGUGGCCCGUGCUGUGCAGCAGUGGGUGGAGAUAGACCGUCGCUACAGUGACAUCCCUUACAUUGAGUGUGAUGUGCCAUGACAUGGGAGGUGGGGGUGAUGAAGAGGAAAAGGACGGGGACAGGUUGAGAUGGCCUUGAUCUUGACCCUUGAGCUUCAACAUGUGAUUAAACAAGGCCUUCAUUCAGGGGAGAUCCUUUGAGCAUUUACCUGCUGAGAGCUGGAAUAUGAAUGAGCUGUCACUAAUUCAGUGAUGACCUACUUCAGGACUGGAUUAUACUUGGAUUGAGCCUACAAACCCUCCAGUGCAACCAAAGCACUCUGAUCCGGGUCUCGGUUCUGUGAUUAUCUGCAUCAGAGCCGGAGCACGCCAAAGCAGACUGUCAUGGAUCAGAUAUCAUGUUUCUCAGACCUUAUUUGUCCCAUCUCCCCGCAGGUGUCAGCUCUCCUGUGAGAAAUCAAACAUUCCUUACUGCCAGUGAAAGUCUACCCUGUCCAGUGAUGCAGCAGCACCGCCAAGAUUCGCUCCUCUUACGGAGGAAGUUAUUAAUAGUUCUCUCCAAAACCCUCCCUGUUUCAUCAGAACAGAAACACGCCCAGCUGUUUGGCUCCUUCUGGUCUGACAAAUGGCCUGAAGUUCUCCCUUAAUGGCCUCCCUGGAGAUGCUGCAGCUGAGCUGCGAUGAGGAGCAUCUUCCUCUGUCUGUUUGUCCCUCACGCAAUUAGGCAGCCUCGCCAUUGCACUCAGCGAGGACACAAGGAUUCAUGCGCACAAAUCAUGCAUUUCCUGCACUCUAAGAUAUUCUGUGUACACAAGACGCAGUUUGGGAACUUCGACAUGAGGACACGGAUCACAGGGGACUCGACGUCUCUCAACCUCAAAAAGUAAACCAGGCAUGAGAACCGUGACACACUUUCUUAAAAUAACUCGUCAGCAGAUCAGGAGCUUAAAAAACAGACGCACACGCAACUUUGUCGAAAUCAUCAGAGUUUUUUGUCAUUGUACGACGCAGAAACGAGGAAUGCUGCAGAUACUCUACCCUGCAGAGGAAAAAAGCACAAAUAUGCAAACCUUUAAAACCCAUGGCUUUAACUCAGUGUGUGUUUGAUUUCUUAAAACAGCCACAGAGGGCAAAGAUUCAUACAGAGGGACUUCCUUAAUGAAUAUCACAACAGUCCAGAACAGAUUGGCUGUACAGUCCACACAGCGUGAUUAAUAACAGGUUUGUUUGCAGGUCUGCUCUGGUCAGAUGAAGGGUUUAUGUUCCAAAGUCCAAAUACUUUAACCAAUGUCAUUGUGACUGAACCCAACAUUUAAAGGGAUAGUUUGUUUAUUUUGAAGUGUAGUUGUAUGAGGUACUUGUAAACACAAGUGUUUUGUUCCCCAGAGGAUCCCGGUCAGCUGGGUCACAUUGUUGAGAAACCAGGUGGAGAACCAGCAAAGCAGCUAGGCUAUCAACCUCUGCAGACCAGGUCACGUGAUUUAUUUAAGAGCCACUUUGUCCUUGCACGAUUCAGGGAUGCAAUGUAUAGGUUUUCCUUUUCCUGCAGUGCACUGAUCAGCUGAUCAUGAUAUACGAGCCACUGAUACUUUGUGAAUUUGGACAUUUUUGAAUCUCAGUUUUAGAUCAUUUUUGAGUGAUGCAGACUGCAGCUGUUUGUGAGCAGGCUCAUUCAGAAAGGUCCUGAAGUGCUGUUGUUACCAAGUCCCACUUCAUGGGCUCACAGUUUACACACCUGCUUCACCAGGUAACUCAGGAUCUCUCCUGAUCUACAGAGAGCACAAGCUUCUCCCCUCUUCCCUUCAGUCUGUUGAGUCUCGCUCUUCCUCUGUAAACCUAUAUAAACUAUUCAUAAAGGUAUCCCACAGACCCAAACAGCUUAUCAAUGCGCUGCAGGAUAAAUAGAGUGUACACUUAAAACAAUUUUAGUGUUAGAACUCCAUAAAAUCAGCUAAAUAGGUAGACAGCCUAGCCUCUGUUCAGUUCUGUAGCUGGUUUCUCAAUACAGGAGCUGAGCUGACCGGCAUCCUCUGGAGAGGAGUAUCUCAUACAACCCCACCCCUAAAAACCCUUCCCUUUAAAUCACAAUAAUAGCCUUGCCACGUUUAUAACUUGUAAUAAUAUUGAUCAUAAGGAUAGUUUAAAGCCAUAUUGAACUGUGGGACACUUCUGCCCACUUGCCUUCUCCUUUAACAGUAACAGUGUUUUAAUACCGACAUAAAACUGCCCAGUUACAGUGAAACACAGAUGAUCUGUAGGAGAUAUUGUAACAGGAAGCUCGAUGAAUACAUUUCAUUUUCCCGGCUGUUGGACUGCCCAUCUGUCUGAAGAGCAGCGUCAUUGUUUAAGCAUUUAAAGUCUCUGUUUACAGGCUGCACUGUAAGGUGAUGAUUGAUCAAAGGGCUGCUGACUGAGAGAAACAUGAUGUGAGCUAAAAACUGCCCUGUCCAACACGUCACUCAAAACAAACAACAUAUAGUACUUGCACUAAUCUGUGUAGGCAGAUGAAUCUCUCGGGGUCUUUCCCCAAAACAUGUUGUGAUCACACUGGAGAUUAGAGAUGAUCUGUUCUGCACACGCCAUACUCCUAAAUCUUAAUCUGAUGCUGUUUGUUUCACUGCAGAUGUAACGAUACACAUCACUGCUGUGCUGAAAAUGGAUCUCUGUGAGCGCUGGGGUUUGAUCAAAUCAUGGAAAUAAAAAGUGCCGGUUUAUUGGAC